GACGUAGGAUGCGAGCGUUGUUCGGAAUUAUUGGGCGUAAAGCGUGCGUAGGCGGCUUGUUAAGUCUGGUGUGAAAGCUAGGGGCUCAACCCCUGUGUUGCACUGGAAACUGGCAGGCUUGAGUACGGUAGGGGAAGGUGGAAUUCCGAGUGUAGCGGUGAAAUGCGUAGAUAUUCGGAAGAACACCGGUGGCGAAGGCGACCUUCUGGGCCGUCACUGACGCUGAGGCACGAAAGCGUCGGGAGCAAACGGG
rnacentral:rRNA from 1 species